rnacentral:tRNA from 1 species
GCAUCCGUAGCUCAGUGGUAGAGCAAUCGCCUCUUAAGCGAUGGGUCGUGGGUUCGAAACCCACCGGGUGCA